UCAAUAAAUAUAAUGUCCCAUAACGCCAAAGUACAAAAUGUUGACAAAGUAUACUUUCCAAAACGCAUUCGAAAAGUUAUCGAAACGCAUCGCUAGAUAACACAUGAGCG